rnacentral:rRNA from 1 species
UACAGAGGUCCCAAGCGUUGUUCGGAUUCACUGGGCGUAAAGGGUGCGUAGGCGGUCGGGUAAGUCUGACGUGAAAUCUUCAAGCUUAACUUGGAAACUGCGUCGGAUACUAUUCGGCUAGAGGAAUGGAGGGGAGACUGGAAUACUUGGUGUAGCAGUGAAAUGCGUAGAUAUCAAGUGGAACACCAGUGGCGAAGGCGAGUCUCUGGACAUUUCCUGACGCUGAGGCACGAAAGCCAGGGGAGCGAACGGG